UACGAAGGGGGCUAGCGUUGCUCGGAAUCACUGGGCGUAAAGCGCACGUUAGGCGGCUUUUUAAGUCAGGGGUGAAAUCCUGGAGCUCAACUCCAGAACUGCCUUUGAUACUGAGAAGCUUGAGUCCGGGAGAGGUGAGUGGAACUGCGAGUGUAGAGGUGAAAUUCGUAGAUAUUCGCAAGAACACCAGUGGCGGAAGGCGGACUCACUGGCCCGGUACUGACGCUGAGGUGCGAAAGCGUGGGGAG
rnacentral:rRNA from 1 species